UGCCAGCAGCCGCGGUAAUACGAAGGGUGCAAGCGUUGUUCGGAUUUAUUGGGCGUAAAGCGCGCGCAGGCGGAUUGCUAAGCUAGAUGUGAAAUCUCGGGGCCCAACCCCGAAACUGCGUCUAGAACUGGUGAUCUAGAAUCUUGGAGAGGGAAGGGGAAUUUCUCAUGUAGGGGUAAAAUCCGUAGAGAUGAGAAGGAACACCAGAGGCGAAGGCGCCUUCCUGGACAAGUAUUGACGCUGAGGCGCGAAAGCGUGGGGAGCAAACAGGAUUAGAUA
rnacentral:rRNA from 1 species